AGAGUUUGAUCCUGGCUCAGAGCGAACGCUGGCGGCAGGCUUAACACAUGCAAGUCGAGCGGGCGUAGCAAUACGUCAGCGGCAGACGGGUGAGUAACGCGUGGGAACAUACCUUUUGGUUCGGAACAACACAGGGAAACUUGUGCUAAUACCGGAUAAGCCCUUACGGGGAAAGAUUUAUCGCCGAAAGAUUGGCCCGCGUCUGAUUAGCUAGUUGGUGAGGUAACGGCUCACCAAGGCGACGAUCAGUAGCUGGUCUGAGAGGAUGAUCAGCCACAUUGGGACUGAGACACGGCCCAAACUCCUACGGGAGGCAGCAGUGGGGAAUAUUGGACAAUGGGCGCAAGCCUGAUCCAGCCAUGCCGCGUGAGUGAUGAAGGCCCUAGGGUUGUAAAGCUCUUUUGUGCGGGAAGAUAAUGACGGUACCGCAAGAAUAAGCCCCGGCUAACUUCGUGCCAGCAGCCGCGGUAAUACGAAGGGGGCUAGCGUUGCUCGGAAUCACUGGGCGUAAAGGGUGCGUAGGCGGGUAUUUAAGUCAGGGGUGAAAUCCUGGAGCUCAACUCCAGAACUGCCUUUGAUACUGAGUAUCUUGAGUACGGGAGAGGUGAGUGGAACUGCGAGUGUAGAGGUGAAAUUCGUAGAUAUUCGCAAGAACACCAGUGGCGAAGGCGGCUCACUGGCCCGUUACUGACGCUGAGGCACGAAAGCGUGGGGAGCAAACAGGAUUAGAUACCCCUGGUAGUCCACGCCGUAAACGAUGAUGCAGCCGUUUAAGUGGGGUUUACUCACUAGUGGCGCAGCUAACGCUUUAAGCAUUC
rnacentral:rRNA from 2 species